rnacentral:rRNA from 1 species
GACGAACGCUGGCGGCGUGCUUAACACAUGCAAGUCGAACGGAAAGGCCCUGCUUUCGUGGGGUUCUCGAGUGGCGAACGGGUGAGUAACACGUGAGUAACCUGCCCUUGACUUUGGGAUAACUUCAGGAAACUGGGGCUAAUACCGGAUAGGAGCUCCUGUUGCAUGGUGGGGGGUGGAAAGUUUCGGCGGUUGGGGAUGGAUUCGCGGCUUACCGGCUUGUUGGUCGGGUAGUGGCUUACCAAGGCCUUGACGGGUAGCCGGCCUGGGAGGGUGGCCGGCCACAUUGGGACUGCGAUACGGCCCAGACUCCUACGGGAGGCAGCAGUGGGAAAUAUUGCACAGUGGGCGGAAGCCUGAUGCAGCAACGCCGCGUGCGGGAUGACGGCCUUCGGGUUGUAAACCGCUUUCGCCUGUGACGAAGCGUGAGUGACGGUAAUGGGUAAAGAAGCACCGGCUAACUACGUG